rnacentral:rRNA from 1 species
GAUGAACGCUGGCGGCGUGCCUAAUACAUGCAAGUCGAGCGAACAGACGAGGAGCUUGCUCCUCUGAUGUUAGCGGCGGACGGGUGAGUAACACGUGGAUAACCUACCUAUAAGACUGGGAUAACUUCGGGAAACCGGAGCUAAUACCGGAUAACAUGUUGAACCGCAUGGUUCAACAGUGAAAGACGGUCUUGCUGUCACUUAUAGAUGGAUCCGCGCCGCAUUAGCUAGUUGGUAAGGUAACGGCUUACCAAGGCAACGAUGCGUAGCCGACCUGAGAGGGGGCUGGGCCACCCUGGAACUGAGACCCGGCCAGAACCCCACGGGGGGGCAGCAGUAGGGAAUUUUCCGCAAGGGGGGAAACCCUGACGGAGCACCCCCGCGGGAGGGAAAAAGGUCUUCGGAUGGAAAAACUCUUUUUUUGGGGAAGAAAAAAUGUGAAAGUAACUAGCCCGGUCUUGGGGGUACCUAACCAGAAAGCCCGGGCUAACAACG